UGUUAAAAAUUUCUUCUAUUUGUACCAUUAAAAAUUGGCAUGAUUGAUGAAAGAACGAGAUAGUGACACGUGAUGUGCCACGAGUACCUCAUGUUGUAUACUAGAACCAAUUUUUAACAAAAAAAAUGGAUGAAAUUUUUAAUA
rfam:Gossypium arboreum cultivar AKA8401 contig_14267_1, whole genome shotgun sequence.